CUCCUUUCCAACAUCUCCUCCUCCCUUCUCCCCUUCAUCCAAUGCCCAGAUCUUAUAGUGAUCAGAUCUAAGAAGAGAAAAGAGAGAGAAGAGAAAAAGAAGAAGAGUUUUUCUUCUCUUCAUGGUGAUCUGGUUCAGAUCCUAUCGGAUCUAUGCGAAAGAGUUCAUGCAGCGAUCUUUUUCUUCAAAAUCUGAAAGAAGAGAUCCAGAUC
rnacentral:lncRNA from 1 species